AGGACAGUAGCAGGAAAAACGUCCCCUUGGAAUCCGGCUGACUUGGUUUCAAAGAUCAGCUCUCCCUCCACUUAAGAAGGUGACAGGAAGCAAUAUUUCUGAAGAAUGUAAAACAAGGGCAAGUCAUCCAAAAGAGGUGGUGGUGGUGGAUGACUAGAAGUGGCAUGAAGGUAGCUGGAGGAUGUGGAAACAGAGAGUAACUCACACAAACCCACAGGCUUCUGCAAGGUUCUGAGAGGUCUGAGGGUGAGUGGGGAACACACGGAAGGCAUGUGUGACUAGUUUUUUCCAGGAGUACCAUGACUGCUUGAUAAACAAUGUUUGCCAGUGUGAGUGUUCCUGGCUUAUUAAAUUGAUGGAAGAAAAGGAACUUUUUUCAGAUACACAAAGAACCAAAGUCAAGUUCACAGGCAACAACCAACUCAAAGCAGAAUGACACAUUUCCCCCUGAGUUGGCCUGACAUUGCUGUCUGCACUCUAUUUGUGGUGGGCAUGAUUAGAUAUUUUCAUAGCCUACAGUGAUUAGGAAACCAGAAAUGCCAAUCCUUUCCCCCUCAAAGAGUUUGUGGGGACUGUUGUUAUUAAUUGUUACAUCUUACUUUACAGUUAACAAAACAAUUUUCCAUAAAUAAUUCCAUUAAGCUUAGAUAACAUAGCAAUUUGGUGCCACAUCCUUUACAGUUGAGAAACCCAAGGCUCCAGGAAGUUCAGUGAUGUGCUCAAGAUUGCACAGGGCUAAAAAUGGACUUCACUGACAUAGAAUCUCUACUUGUCUUCAUUACAUCACUUGUAGUUUCCCUGGGCUCCACAAGAAAGCUCAGGCCCUGUUGUUUCACCUUGAUCUCAAAUAUUUCAUGAAGUGAAGGCAUAGUGUCUCCCAAGUUCUCUUUGUGUACUUCCUGGAAAUAAAAAAUAAAUUGGAAUCCAAUUCUCUGACAAU